rnacentral:misc_RNA from 1 species
GCAGAGAUGGCAGAUGCAAAUCAGCACGAACAUCAUGUAUUAACUUCUCCAUAUUAGCCUUAUAUGUAUCGACGCAAUGCUGAGAUAAUGUAUCACUCUCUCCUUGAUACCAAAGCAAUGCCUUGAUUUCUCCUCCAUGACUCAUGGCAGCUCUAGCUCUGUUGAUCAUAUUCACAUACAAGUGUUGCCCGUGUGCCCACUCCUUUAUCGCAGUUCCUCCUACAGCACAUGGCACUAACCCAAUAGCUUCCACUCGGUCCUUGAUUGCAUUUGCAAAUGACAUUCCAGGUCCAACACCACAUGUCUUCUUCGCAUCAAUGUCAUGGUGGAGUGGCUCACGUGCCACCUCAUAAUGGAGGUGUGCACUAAGACGGAAAAUUCUAGAAGCAUCUGGAUGGCACUCGUUUGGUACAACGCCAUCCCAGUGAUGCUUUUCUACUCCACCACGACCAGCCAUGUUGCUUUGCCCAGAUAGAAUGAAUACAUUUUUGGGGGAAUAAGCUACAUUUUCCACGGUUGAGUCCAUAGUUCAGAGGUCAAGAUGCUGUGAUUGAAAGCGGUUUUUUUCUAACCAGGGAAUUAACACUAAGCAAAAAACCCAAGUAAAUUCUCCAAAGAAACUGAAUCCGAAUGAAGAAUAGAAUAAUUGCGGAGAAGAUGAACAAACGACGCCGUAAGGUCACUGAUCUAG